AUUGAACGCUGGCGGCAGGCCUAACACAUGCAAGUCGAGCGCGCGGCGGACGGUUGAGUAAUGUAUGGGGACUGCUCGAUCGAGGGGGAUAACUCCUGGAAACGGUAUCUCACACCGCAUACUCUCUCAUAACCCACAUGGGAUUAGCUCGUAGGUGAGGUAAUGGCUCACCUAGGCGACGCUCCCUAGCUGGUCUGAGAGGAUGAUCAGCCACACUGGGACUGAGACACGGCCCAGACUCCUACGGAGGCAGCAGUGGGGAAUAUUGCACAAUGGGCGCAAGCCUGAUGCAGCCAUGCCGCGUGUAUGAAGAAGGCCCUAGGGUUGUAAAGUACUUUCAGUCGGGAGGCGUUACCGACAGAAGAAGCACCGGCUAACUCCGUGCCAGCAGCCGCGGUAAUAC
rnacentral:rRNA from 1 species